UCAGAACACCAGUGGUAAGGACGGAGCCGCGGGUGUCGUGUACAGAGCAGAUGCAUCACCGGAACGGCAAACAAGCGUCAGCCUUCCGCUGGGCGAGGGUAGAAAGGCGCAGGGAGCGGGAGGGAAGGUGCCGUCAGCAUUUGGUGGAACUGGACUGCAGCACCCAGGACUCGGCGGACUAAACCAGACAGGUCGGCACGCUCUGGCCCUUGGAGAAAGCGGCUUUUGUGCUGGACCGGAGGCAGGUGACCUGAAUAUUGGGUGUCCGUGUUCCAGCACCCACGUGGAGAGACAACAAAGUUGGCUGGGGCAGUGGACAGCAAGGCAAAAACGUGGGGACAGCUGACUCAGCAGAAACGCAACAUCUCGGACAGAUCUGUAGAGGUGGUCUGGAUGAAGCGAACGAGGCGCUUCUGUGCAGAUCCAAAAGCAAGGACCAGCAAACCCCAGAAAAUCUGUACGUGUCUUCUGGUGCCAGGAUGGGCCAGAUAUGUAAAUUUUUUUCCUGAUAAAAAUCAGGAAAUAAUGCGCUAGCAGUAUCUCAGGCCUUGGUAAUACAUGCCAAAAGCAGGGCAGUUCUUAAAAAAAGGUCAACCUUGUUUUCAUGUGAUCCAUAAAUAAACAUCACGCUCUCACUGUUAUUUCUUAGCGGGAUGGCUUAUAAAUCUUUCUCACUCCUGCAGCCUUUCCCUAUCCCUGUUCAAUUAAACAGAGUAAGCACGUACUGCUUCUUACUCUCCGCUCUCAGAUCGUACGCACUGUGGUCCAUUUGACACCAAGUCACCUCUGCUGAGUGUUCUCAUAUACCCGCAUCAGCCUUCAAGCUCUUUGCAAUAAAUAUCCGCUUUGUCAAGCACAGAACACCCUGGAAAAGUCCCGCUACCUGCUGUGCUCACCAGCCUGAGGUCUAAAGCUACCCAACGCAAUGCCCAAACAAAGGUGAACAUGGUCCUCGUGUGCUGUCAGGCUUUGAGGAUUCUGUGUUGCCAAGCUUCAAACAACUAUUUUCAUCUGUGCAAGUAGCACGGGUCACCGUUCCUGGGCGUUGUUUUGCACGCAGUCGUUAUAAUCAUUAAAUUUGGUGUCCGUUAAAUCUUGAUAAAUUGCUCGAUGCGCCGUUUGUCGUGUUCUAAGAGAGCGUGCAGCCUGUGUUUUCUUAACACAUGUUCCACGUUAACUGUUUUCAUUGACUAUGAAUCCAUAAAAAUACACGUGGAACAGAGGGUACACAGUACAGGCGUGUCUGCCCGGCUCCUUCCCAUUCUAAUUGGGUAGCAAAGCUGUUUAAUAGAGUCUGUGGAGUCUGUUUAACUGCGUUCUGCCAGAACAAUGCUCUACUCAUGUUUUCAACAGAACACUAGUGAUUGGGCUAAUAUCUUUAAACUAGAAAACAAGUCUUAAUUGGAACAGAUGCUGCAAAUACCGAUGCAAAUGGCCAGCUCUCGUGUGAUCAAAA